UACGAAGGGGGCUAGCGUUGCUCGGAAUCACUGGGCGUAAAGCGCACGUAGGCGGAUUGCUAAGUCAGGGGUGAAAUCCUGGAGCUCAACUCCAGAACUGCCUUUGAUACUGGCGAUCUUGAGUCCGGGAGAGGUGAGUGGAACUGCGAGUGUAGAGGUGAAAUUCGUAGAUAUUCGCAAGAACACCAGUGGCGAAGGCGGCUCACUGGCCCGGUACUGCCGCUGAGGUGCGAAAGCGUGGGGAGCAAACAGG
rnacentral:rRNA from 1 species